UGGGGAAUAUUGGACAAUGGGCGAAAGCCUGAUCCAGCCAUGCCGCGUGUGUGAAGAAGGUCUUCGGAUUGUAAAGCACUUUAAGUUGGGAGGAAGGGCAGUAGCGAAUACCUUGCUGUUUUGACGUUACCGACAGAAUAAGCACCGGCUAACUCUGUGCCAGCAGCCGCGGUAAUACAGAGGGUGCAAGCGUUAAUCGGAAUUACUGGGCGUAAAGCGCGCGUAGGUGGUUCGUUAAGUUGAAUGUGAAAGCCCCGGGCUCAACCUGGGAACUGCAUCCAAAACUGGCGAGCUAGAGUAGGGCAGAGGGUGGUGGAAUUUCCUGUGUAGCGGUGAAAUGCGUAGAUAUAGGAAGGAACACCAGUGGCGAAGGCGACCACCUGGGCUCAUACUGACACUGAGGUGCGAAAGCGUGGGGAGCAAACAGG
rnacentral:rRNA from 1 species